rnacentral:rRNA from 1 species
AUACGGGAGGCAGCAGUGGGGAAUAUUGGACAAUGGGCGCAAGCCUGAUCCAGCCAUGCCGCGUGGAUGAUGAAGGCCCUAGGGUUGUAAAGUCCUUUCGGCGGGGAAGAUAAUGACGGUACCCGCAGAAGAAGCCCCGGCUAACUUCGUGCCAGCAGCCGCGGUAAUACGAAGGGGGCUAGCGUUGCUCGGAAUCACUGGGCGUAAAGCGCACGUAGGCGGCUUGUUAAGUCAGGGGUGAAAUCCUGGAGCUCAACUCCAGAACUGCCUUUGAUACUGGCGAGCUUGAGUUCGGGAGAGGUGAGUGGAACUGCGAGUGUAGAGGUGAAAUUCGUAGAUAUUCGCAAGAACACCAGUGGCGAAGGCGGCUCACUGGCCCGAUACUGACGCUGAGGUGCGAAAGCGUGGGGAGCAAACAGGAUUAGAUACCCGUGUAGUCU